GGCGCGUUUGGUUGAUAGAGGUCGUGGUAGAAGAAGGUUGCCUAUUUCAGCGGUGACCACGACGUUAUGGUCGCGUGCAUCGGCACAUUAAUAGAUUUCGGAGAGAGCAGUCACAGCCGAGGCAUUGGCGACGAAUGAGAAAGAGCACAAUAAAUGCCAACUAAAUGUAAACUCAGUUGUACUACACAGACAUAUGACAAACAAAUAAAGCGGUGCAGCAGAAAUGUCAAAUAAGCAAAAAAAAAAAACAUGUAAAGGAGCCACUACUCGUGGGAGACACUGAUAAGUGUGGUUAAUAAUAAAACAGAUAAUGCCAUCUGCGUAGCUAUAUAGUUGGACUAUCAAUUUCAUUUAGAAAGGUUGACAUUUGAAAUGCGGCACAGGUACGGUACUACGGUUGCAGUGCGAAUUUCAGCGAAAAUUUCAAAAAUAUGUUAACAGUAGUGAAAGUAGAUAGAGCCCAAGCAGCUUACAGAAGGUUUCAAUAAAAAAAAGAGUAAAUUGAAUCGCCCGGUGCAAUUUUUGCAGAACACCGACUCCAAGCAGCUCGCAGCAGGUUUCAGUAAAGAAAUUAGUAUAUUGGAUCGAUCCGCCCAAACCCAGGACCUCAAUUCAGUAGACAAUUUAUUGGAAACUACCGUUUUUCCAAUAAUCAUCAAUAUAAGGAGGAAAAAUAUAUAUUUUAUUUAAAAAAUACAGUGUGCUUAGGACAUAAGUAGUUAAGUUUACACCAAAUUUUUUCACAGAAAAAAAUUGUUGUAUAAGAUAAAAUAAAAAAGCUAAAAACUUGAA